CUCUCGUAGGCCCUAGCCUAUAUUUUCCACAUGCAAGAAGAGUUUGACAGAGAGAUAAAAGCCUAGCAGAUCAUAAAAAAUGUUCUUCUCAUAUGGGUAAUGUAGGCCAGGACUGCAAUCACAGCCACACACAGGAGCAGAGCUCGGCCCAGACUCAGGACCACAGUGACCAGGGCCUCACAAUCCUUCUGCUGAGGUUUCUCUGUGCUCCUGGAAAGGCCAGGACUGCAAUCACAGCCACACACAGGAGCAGAGCUUGGCCCAGACUCAGGACCACAGUGACCAGAUCCUCACAGUCCUUCUGCUGAGGUUUCUCUGUGCUCCUGGAAAGAUAUUCCAUCAACAGCAAGUCUUUGUGCACACUUCAAUGGUUCUCACAUUCAAAGAACAAACUUUGCCGCUGUGAUUCAUGGACACGAAUACCGGGUCUUCCUUUACUCAAUACUGAGCCAGGAAGGGGGGGAUACCGGCAGCAGUGUCCCCAGGGCAGAUCCCUCCUCUGUGGGCUCGGGGGCGGCUGAUCCUCCCCUUCCCACCUCCAGACGGACAGGCAGACAGCAGGCUCCACCAAGCGGGCUGAUCAAUGAGCCCCAGGUCCAGCACUGGCUGAUCAGCCCAGCGCAGACACACAGGGGGGUGGGGUGGGGAAGGGGCAGAGCUCCAGAGCUGGCAGGCCUGCCUGGAGCCAUGGCUGCUGGGGGAGAGGCCAUGUGGCUGGGCCCAUUCAGCCUCUAAUCGCUGCCUCCCUCCCUCCACACCCACCUACCCAGCAACCCACUCCUACUGUACCUACAGGGCAGAGCUGGAGUUCUGGCCGGCUGGUUGCUGGCCCCAC